rnacentral:rRNA from 1 species
AUGGUGCUUUUCAAGGACCCGAGGGCUGUCUUUUUGGCGGCCAUUGUGGUGACCGCAAUGGUCAUGCCAUCAUGCUAUGUUGCACAAGGGGUAUGCAACCAGAUCUUACCAUGCACGGACAACACGUGCAAAGUCUACUGCCAGAAAUUGGGGUACAGGUUCUCCAAGGCACAGUGCAAGCCUGGGAACCUGAAGAAAGGUGUGUCCUAUGACAACUGCUGUUGUCUAAAGUUAGAACCCGUCAUCCACGGGUAG